GGGAAUGUAGCUCAGUGGUAGAGCAGCCUAUGGGGUGUGGAGCAAGUCCUUGGUUCAAUUCCUAGCCGAUCCA
rnacentral:tRNA from 1 species